GACGAACGCUGGCGGCGUGCUUAACACAUGCAAGUCGAGCGGUAAGGCUCCUUCGGGAGUACACGAGCGGCGAACGGGUGAGUAACACGUGAGCAAUCUGCCCUUCUCUUCGGAAUAACCAUUGGAAACGAUGGCUAAUGCCGAAUAUGACCUCGGAUCACAUGUUCUGAGGUGGAAAGCUCCGGCGGAGAAGGAUGAGCUCGCGGCCUAUCAGCUUGUUGGNGAGGUAAUGGCUCACCAAGGCAUUGACGGGUAGCCGGCCUGAGAGGGUGACCGGCCACACUGGGACUGAGACACGGCCCAGACUCCUACGGGAGGCAGCAGUGGGGAAUAUUGGACAAGUGGGACGAAAGCCUGAUCCAGCAACGCCGCGUGAGGG
rnacentral:rRNA from 1 species